AGCAGCCGCGGUAAUUCCAGCUCCAAUAGCGUAUAUUAAAGUUGUUGCAGUUAAAAAGCUCGUAGUUGAAUUUCGGGAUUGACUCGAUGGUCGUGCCUUAAGGGGUAUGAACUGUCGCCGUUGAUUUCUCACCUUCUGGAGAAGCUCGAUGUCCUUAAUUGGAUGUCUUGUGGAACCAGGACCUUUACCUUGAAAAAUUAGAGUGUUUAAAGCAGGCAUUUUGCUCGAAUACAUUAGCAUGGAAUAAUAGAAUAGGACGGCAUGGCUCUAUUUUGUUGGUUUCUAGGAUCACCGUAAUGAUUAAUAGGGAUAGUUGGGGGCAUUAGUAUUCAAUUGUCAGAGGUGAAAUUCUUGGAUUUAUUGAAGACUAACUACUGCGAAAGCAUUUGCCAAGGAUGUUUUCAUUAAUCAAGAACGAAAGUUAGGGGAUCGAAGACGAUCAGAUACCGU
rnacentral:rRNA from 1 species